rnacentral:lncRNA from 1 species
AGGCGUGGUCGGUGGUGUUACAUUCACGCUGUUGCAGGCGUGCAGGUCGGUGGUGUUACACACAUUCACACUGUUGCAGGCGUGCAGGUCGGUGGUGUUACACACAUUUGGGCUGUUGCAGGCGUACAGGUCAGUGGUGUUACACACAUGCUGUUGCAGGAGUACAGGUCGGUGGUGUUACACACAUUCAUGCUGUUGCAGGCGUGCAGGUCGGUGGUGUUACAUUCAUGCUGUUGCAGGCGUGCAGGUCGGUGGUGUUACAUUCACACUGUUGCAGGCGUGCAGGUCGGUGGUACACACAUUCACACUGUUGCAGGCGUGCAGGUCGGUGGUGUUACACACAUUCAUGGUGUUGCAGGCGUGCAGGUCGGUGUUACACACAUGCUGUUGCAGGCGUGCAGGUCGGUGGUACAUUCAUGCUGUUGCAGGCGUGCAGGUCGGUGGUGUUACACAUUUUCACGCUGUUGCAGACGUGCAGGUCAGUGGUGUUACAUUCAUGCUGUUGCAGGCGUGCAGGUCGGUGGUGUUACAUUCACGCUGGUGCAGGCAUGCAGGUCGGUGGUGUUACACACAACGCUGUUGCAGGCGUGCAGGUCAGUGGUACACACAUUCACGCUAUUGCAGGCGUGCAGGCCGGUGGUGUUACAUUCACGCUGUUGCAGGCGUGCAGGUUGGUGUUACACACAUUCACACUUGCAGGCGUGCGGGUCGGUGGUGUUACACACAUUCAUGCUGUUGCAGGCGUGCAGGUCGGUGGUGUUACAUUCACG